GAUGAACGCUGGCGGCGUGCUUAACACAUGCAAGUCGAACGGGAAUUCUUUUAUUGAAACUUCGGUCGAUUUCAUUUAAUUCUAGUGGCGGACGGGUGAGUAACGCGUGGGUAACCUGCCUUAUACAGGGGGAUAACAGUCAGAAAUGGCUGCUAAUACCGCAUAAGCGCACAGAGCUGCAUGGCCCAGUGUGAAAAACUCCGGUGGUAUAAGAUGGACCCGCGUUGGAUUAGCUUGUUGGCAGGGUAACGGCCUACCAAGGCGACGAUCCAUAGCCGGCCUGAGAGGGUGAACGGCCACAUUGGGACUGAGACACGGCCCAGACUCCUACGGGAGGCAGCAGUGGGGAAUAUUGCACAAUGGGGGAAACCCUGAUGCAGCGACGCCGCGUGAAGGAAGAAGUAUCUCGGUAUGUAAACUUCUAUCAGCAGGGAAGAUAGUGACGGUACCUGACGAAGAAGCCCCGGCUAACUACGUG
rnacentral:rRNA from 1 species